GUAGGGUGCAAGCGUUAAUCGGAAUUACUGGGCGUAAAGCGUGCGCAGGCGGUUUUGUAAGUCUGACGUGAAAUCCCCGGGCUCAACCUGGGAAUUGCGUUGGAGACUGCAAGGCUGGAGUCUGGCAGAGGGGGGUAGGAUUCCACGUGUAGCAGUGAAAUGCGUAGAGAUGUGGAGGAACACCGAUGGCGAAGGCAGCCCCCUGGGUCAAGACUGACGCUCAUGCACGAAAGCGUGGGGGGAGCAAACAGGAUUAGAUACCCUGGUAGUCCACGCCCUAAACGAUGUCUACUAGUUGUCGGGUCUUAAUUGACUUGGUAACGCAGCUAACGCGUGAAGUAGACCGCCUGGGAGUACGGUCGCAAGAUUA
rnacentral:rRNA from 1 species